CCUACGGGUGGCAGCAGUGAGGAAUAUUGGUCAAUGGGCGGAAGCCUGAACCAGCCAAGUAGCGUGCGGGAUGACGGCCCUACGGGUCGUAAACCGCUUUUGCACGGGGAUAACACCCUCCACUUGUGGAGGUCUGCAGGUACCGUGCGAAUAAGGGCCGGCUAAUUCCGUGCCAGCAGCCGCGGUAAUACGGAAGGCCCGAGCGUUAUCCGGAUUCAUUGGGCUUAAAGGGAGCGUAGGCGGGCGUUCAAGUCAGCUGUAAAAUUGCGCGGCUCAACCGCGCCCGGCAGUUGAAACGGGACGCCUUAGGGUGACAACAGGCAGGGGGAAGUCGGGGUGUAGCGGUGAAAUGCAUAGA
rnacentral:rRNA from 1 species